rnacentral:rRNA from 1 species
GACGAACGCUGGCGGCGUGCCUAACACAUGCAAGUCGAACGAGGUCCAUGGGAGCUUGCUCCCGGAAGACCUAGUGGCGAACGGGUGAGUAACGCGUGAGAAACCUGCCCUGGAGUGGGGAAUAACUCGGGGAAACUCGAGCUAAUACCGCAUACCCUCGGAUGGUCGCAUGGCCGACCGAGGAAAGAUUUAUCGCUCUAGGAGGGUCUCGCGGCCUAUCAGCUAGUUGGUGGGGUAAAGGCCUACCAAGGCAACGACGGGUAGCUGGUUUGAGAGAACGAUCAGCCACACUGGGACUGAGACUCGGCCCAGACUCUUACGGGAGGCAGCAGUGGGGAAUCUUGCGCAAUGGGCGAAAGCCUGACGCAGCAACGCCGCGUGCGGGAUGACGGCCUUCGUGGUUGUAAACCGCUUUCAGCAGGGACGAAAAUGACGGUACCUGCAGAAGAAGCCCCGGCUAACUACGUGCCAGCCGCCGCAGUAAAAC